GAUGAAGAACGCAGCAAAAUGCGAUACUUGGUGUGAAUUGCAGAAUCCCGUGAACCAUCGAGUUUUUGAACGCAAGUUGCGCCCGAAGCCUUUUGGCCGAGGUCACGUCUGCCUGGGCGUCACGCAUCGCGUCGCCCCCCACAACUCUCCGUAAAGGGAACUUGUGUUUUGGGGGCGGAUAUUGGUCUCCCGUGCUCAUGGCGUGGUUGGCCGAAAUAGGAGUCCCUCCGGUGGACGCACGAACUAGUGGUGGUCGUAAAAACCCUCGUCUUUUGUUUCGUGCCGUUAGUCGCGAGGGAAACUCUUUAAAAACCCAAAUGUGUCGUCUCUUGACGGCGCUUCGACCGCGACCCCAGGUCAGGCGGGACUACCCGCUGAGUUUAAGCAUAUCAAUAAGCGGAGGA
rnacentral:misc_RNA from 1 species